CGCCCCGCCCCGCGCCGCCGCCCCCAACCCCUAGGCUGAGCCGGAGGGAGGGACCCAGAAGGGAGGGAGGCGGAAGGGAGGCCAAAAAGGAGGGGGCCACGUGAAAGAGGCCGGCCGACCGAGACCGAGGGAGACUGAGCGGAGCGCACGCCCUGGAAGGAGAGAGCCGGAGAGUUCGGGAGGCAAGACCCCCAGAGACGAGAGUCGGAGGGAUCAAACGACACAGGUGAGAGAAGGGGCAGAGGCAGACGGCGUGGGCCAAACAAGAUUCCAGACAGUGAUGUGAGGGCACCAGAGACGCCACCGAGAUGUGCGCAGAGAGACCAAAAGAGGCGUGAGAGCCAGCGGGCUGUGACGUGACGGAGGGCACAGAGGCAGGCGGGGCAGAGGAAGGGGGCGGUAAAGAAAUGGGAACAGCUAGAAAACCGGCGGCUUGAUCGGCUUUUAGGUAGCCCCGGAAAGGUCGGGAGGAGGAGGGGCAAAGGCCGCGCUCCUCAGCUGGGAAGGAGGUGGUCUCAAGCAGCCUCCAGUCCCGGGCUCAACACCGCCAACCCGGCAAGGGUGAGGCAGCGUUCAGGGAUGCAAGGGGCAGAGCGGUAGCGGCACCUGUGCACCCCUCCCACCUCUGCCUCAGUUUACCAUGUACGGCCUCAUUUCUCUCCGGGCUGCCCUGAGAGAAAAAUGUUCUCCAGCCGAGAUUUGCUUGAAUUGGAAAUUCAAGUGAUCCAUGGACACAUCCUCCUUGACAGCCCCCAGAAGACUGUAGGCUGGUUACAUCCCCCUGUCCUGAGGAGAUGCUGACCUUUGGCUCCAGAGAGACUGUGAGAACUCAGUGAGGGGGUCCUGCACUCCGAGGGUCCUGCACCCUGGGAGCCCUUAGGUCUGUUUGGAGAGAAAACAGUUCCUCCAGGCAAGAGGGGAGAAGUGUCCCCAGGAGGUUGGGGGAGGAGCAUCUGCCCUCCUCCUUCUCAGGAAUCACAGGGCCUACCUCCUAGCCCCAUCCACCAUUGCCAGUCAGCGCCUGAUGCACUGGGGGUGUCCUGGGCCACCCGGACUUCCUCUGUGAGCUCCAUGUGGGGCCUCAGUCUUUACCUCAGGUAACUAGGGCUUACCACACCUACAGCCAUGCCCCCCACCCAAGUUGAAGUCCUUUCUCCAGCUCCAGCUGCUGGUGGGGAGGCCUUCAGGCUGGCCCUCAGUCCCUGGCACCUGCCCCAGACUCGGGAGUGGGGGUGGGGGGCAGGUGGGGACUAGGAAGUGGCCCAGAUCCUUUGUCUGUAGGGCCUGGAGUGAGGACAAAGACUACCUUACUCUGGUAAGAUCCCAGUCCCAAGAGCCCACUGUCUCUCCUUCCCAGUUGUUGCAUGACUUUCUGAACUCAGAGUUACCAUUGGGACUGAAAGAAGGUGGCCUCAAUGGCCGCCAGUUGCUUCGGACUCCCUCGGAGAGUGGUGCUGUGAGCCUACAUGGUUCUUUGGAAAGGGUGGAGAGGGGCGCACUAAGAGCAACAGUAUCCCACACUGAGCAGGCCUCCUCCUGAGAGACCAAGAGACCAGGAAGCUGGCCCUGUCGCUGUUGGCCAAGCAGCCACUCUCCUGGGAGGCUGGGGCAGCCCAGUCAGGCUCCCCCUAUCAACGGGUAGACUCAGAGAACCCUCCCUAGAUGAGUGCAAUAGUAUCACUCAAUCCAACCAUCUCCUUUUUCAGAUGGGAAACUGAGGCCCAGCAAGAGGCAGCCCUGGUGCAGGGACUCCAGUGAGUAGGGCUGGUUUACUAUUGCUUCUUGUACAGAGCCAUAUCAAGCUCCUUUUUCCGGCUUCCUCCCUCACCUCCCCCAUCUUAGCAGGGCCCCUGCCCCUUCCUCACCCCCUGGCUUCUGCAUCUCCCUAAGGGCAUAGCCUAGUGGUGGUUUCUCCCCUGAGUAGGCCCAGCUAGCCUCUGUCCCAUCCCCUGUUAUUUGGGCCCUAACAGAAGCUACCCAAAUUUGAACCAUCUCUGCCCCAUGCUCAAGACCUGAGGGUCUCACAUCCUCAAAAUGGGUCCCCAGAUUCCAGAUCCAAGGAUUUGGGGAUCACACUGUUCAUCAGCUGUCACUAAACUUAUUUUACUAUGAGCCAUCCCCCUGGGGUAGCUUCUUGGUCAGCUUGUGGGGAAGGGGGUCAUUUUCAGGAUGGAGGCCUCAUCUCUAGAUUUUGGGGAGUCAAAAGAGUAGUGCAGCCCAGCCCUCACCCCAUUCCACAGGUGUGCACCCCCAGCUCCUUGGACUCUGGCCAGGACCAUUUCCUGCAGCCCCAGGCCAGCCCUGCAGCAUGAGCAGAGGGUGGCUUUGGGAAUGAGGCCCUGAGGGCUGGAAGGAGAAUGCCCAGCGCCUAGGGAACUUUGGGAGACCGCAGCUGGCUCCAGGGGCUGAGAGAGCCAGGGUCCUGCCCCCGGUCGCCCAAAACACCUCCCUUGUAGGUCUGUCCCUGAUCCCCCGGCUCUUGAUAGACACAGCCUCCCCGUCGCCCGACCCCAGGGCAAACCAGCAGAUAAACCCCUUUUAGGCGAAAAUUACACAAAAACGGCGGCGGCGGCGGGGCCUCCUCUGCUCAGGCACUGCCGCGUUGGCGGCCGAAAAAAGAGGGUCCCAGAGAAGGGGAACCCCCUCCCUGUCGAGGACACCGAGGCCCAGAGAGGGGAAGCCUCCUCCCCAGUGGGGUGCAGUCUGGGAUUGCAGUCCCCACCCCAGGGGCGCAGCUGCCAGCCCAACGCCU
rnacentral:lncRNA from 1 species